GAUGAACGCUGGCGGCGUGCCUAAUACAUGCAAGUCGAGCGAACAGAUGAGGAGCUUGCUCCUCUGACGUUAGCGGCGGACGGGUGAGUAACACGUGGAUAACCUACCUAUAAGACUGGGAUAACUUCGGGAAACCGGAGCUAAUACCGGAUAAUAUAUUGAACCGCAUGGUUCAAUAGUGAAGGACGGUUUUGCUGUCACUUAUAGAUGGAUCCGCGCCGCAUUAGCUAGUUGGUAAGGUAACGGCUUACCAAGGCAACGAUGCGUAGCCGACCUGAGAGGGUGAUCGGCCACACUGGAACUGAGACACGGUCCAGACUCCUACGGGAGGCAGCAGUAGGGAAUCUUCCGCAAAGGGCGAAAGCCUGACGGAGCAACGCCGCGUGAGUGAUGAAGGUCUUCGGAUCGUAAAACUCUGUUAUUAGGGAAGAACAAAUGUGUAAGUAACUAUGCACGUCUUGACGGUACCUAAUCAGAAAGCCACGGCUAACUACGUG
rnacentral:rRNA from 1 species